rnacentral:rRNA from 1 species
GGCUACACACGUGCUACAAUGGGUAGUACAGAGAGUCGCAAAGCCGCGAGGUGGAGCUAAUCUCAGAAAACUAUUCUUAGUUCGGAUUGUACUCUGCAACUCGAGCACAUGAAGUUGGAAUCGCUAGUAAUCGCGAAUCAGCAAUGUCGCGGUGAAUACGUUCUCGGGUCUUGUACACACCGCCCGUCACACCACGAGAGUUGGUUGCACCUGAAGUAGCAGGCCUAACCGUAAGGAGGGAUGCUCCGAGGGUGUGAUUAGCGAUUGGGGUGAAGUCGUAACAAGGUAUCCGUACGGGAACGU